rnacentral:rRNA from 1 species
AGAGUUUGAUCCUGGCUCAGGAUGAACGCUGGCGGCGUGCCUAACACAUGCAAGUCGAGCGAACCACUUCGGUGGUGAGCGGCGAACGGGUGAGUAACACGUAGGUGAUCUGCCCAUCAGACGGGGACAACGAUUGGAAACGAUCGCUAAUACCGGAUAGGACGAAAGUUUAAAGGUGCUUCUGGCACCGCUGAUGGAUGAGCCUGCGGCGCAUUAGCUAGUUGGUAGGGUAAAGGCCUACCAAGGCGACGAUGCGUAGCCGACCUGAGAGGGUGAACGGCCACACUGGGACUGAGACACGGCCCAGACUCCUACGGGAGGCAGCAGUAGGGAAUCUUCGGCAAUGGGCGAAAGCCUGACCGAGCAACGCCGCGUGAAUGAUGAAGGCCUUCGGGUUGUAAAAUUCUGUUAUAAGGGAAGAACGACUUUAGUAGGAAAUGGCUAGAGUGUGACGGUACCUUAUGAGAAAGCCACGGCUAACUACGUGCCAGCAGCCGCGGUAAUACGUAGGUGGCGAGCGUUAUCCGGAAUUAUUGGGCGUAAAGAGCGCGCAGGUGGUUGAUUAAGUCUGAUGUGAAAGCCCACGGCUUAACCGUGGAGGGUCAUUGGAAACUGGUCGACUUGAGUGCAGAAGAGGGAAGUGGAAUUCCAUGUGUAGCGGUGAAAUGCGUAGAGAUAUGGAGGAACACCAGUGGCGAAGGCGGCUUCCUGGUCUGUAACUGACACUGAGGCGCGAAAGCGUGGGGAGCAAACAGGAUUAGAUACCCUGGUAGUCCACGCCGUAAACGAUGAGUGCUAAGUGUUGGGGGUCGAACCUCAGUGCUGAAGUUAACGCAUUAAGCACUCCGCCUGGGGAGUACGGUCGCAAGACU